rnacentral:tRNA from 1 species
ACCUGGGUGGCUCAGUCAGUUAAGCAUCUGACUUCGGUUCAGGUCAGGAUCUCACAGCUUGUGGGUUCAAGCCCCGCAUCAGGCU